GGAAGAAAGAGUAAAGUUUGGGUAUGAAAUCUAGUGUGAAAUUUGGAGCACCUGGGACAAUCUGAGAUUUGAAAUAAAGCAUUCGGUAUCCUGUUUAGGAGAAGUGUUCCCAAAGUCUUUGCUCUUCCAAAAAGUUAUAAGAGGUAAUGUAGAAAAGUGAAGUGUAUGUUUCCUAGUUUUAGACUUUGUUAAACAAAAUCUAAAAUUCUGUCCUUGGUAGUAAUUUCUACACAGAAACCACCUUUUUGAAACACAUUAUAGGUUUCACUUCCUCAGCAAUGCAGUAUCACUAGUAUGUAAUGAUAGAGAUUCCUCCCCCAACCAAGGACCUCUCUAAUUUCCUCUUGAAGGCCCAUAAGAUAGUUCUAUGGCAAACACUGGUGCCUCAGUUGUUUAGGGACAUGGGAAAUAAAUGGCUUAUUGGUUCCCUCAAAGGUUUGUGAAGAACAGGGAUCUGAGCUCUGUUUCUGACCUUUGGCCUUAUCAAGCUGUGUUUCCUCAAAAGUAAGAAUGCUUUUUUUUUUUUAAUCAACAUCAGUCCCUGUUGGGAGUGACAGAGAGGGGUGUGUGGCCCAUGCUUCAGAAGAAGCUGUUUAUCGGCUCUCAAGUUGGAAAUGGAAAAAUCCAGGGCCCUUUCCCUUUAACUUUACAUCCCAUCCAGGUCUGUGAUGGCUUUAGUCACUAUUCUUUGAAAAUUGUCUUCAUCUUAUUUCUAGUUAAGGACGUUUUUCAUGGAAUGUAUCCUCCAAUCUAACCUUCCCCUUGUACUCUGGCCUAAUGUCAAGCCCAUCAAAGUGAAUGUCCAUGAAACUAUGCCUUCUCCCUUCUUUCUUACUCCUCUUAGGAAGCUGUUUGGUGCCUGUCCAAGUCCUGGAUCCUUGCUGAUUAAGAAAACCGACCAGGCCCCGAAAUGAGAUGCCACUGAAAAUCCUAUUCCCUCAGAUUCUCCUAUUCCUUGAAAAGAAGAAACUAAGUAGACCAUAACCUGUGUGAGGACAAACAGAAUGCUAUGAGAAGUCCAGAGGAAUAAUGAGAUUGAUAGCGGGAUCAAGAAUGGCUUCCUAGAAGAGGCAAUGUGUGAGCUAAGUGUUAAAGGAAGUCUAACAGGAGAAAAGGAGAGCAUUCCAGAACUGUGACUUCAUCAGCAUAGGGAGCUCCCUGGUUGAGGAAAAUCUCUGUACAACAAUGAAGAACAACAACUACUGACCACCUUAAAGAGUUUCGUGCGGGUACCGAGAGGUUAAAAUGCACGGGUCACAGAGCCAGGAUGUGUCAGAGGCAAGGGGAGAAAGGAAAAACCUUUCAAUCAUAAACGUAUCAUGGGAUUGUACAGCCCAAUUUCUGAGCAGCGUUUAAUGUUGUCAUCUCUUAAAAAACAUGCUAUUGACCCAGAGGAUCCAAGCGCUGGCCUAUAACUGUGUGCUCCAUGGAACCUAAAGACUUCAGCCAGUGUUAAAUUCUUCUCAUUUUACCUGAUUUGUGGAUUCCUGUAUAUCUGGACAGUUUUAAGAUACGACAUAUUCUAAGAUACAAACCGUAUCUGUACCAAUGGCAGCCGUUCAAAAAGUGAUGUGUGGCAAGGCCAAAAAAGUCUUUUCUAUGACUAUUUCCUGAAGAAGUCAUUGCUAUAUACCCUUUGAUCUGGCAAUAGCACUUCUAGGGCUAUAUCCCAAAGACAUCAAACAAAUGGGA